rnacentral:rRNA from 1 species
UACGACUACAUAUCAGGCAUAUCAAUAAGCGGAGGAAAAGGAAACUAACUAGGAUUCCCUCAGUAACGGCGAGUGAAGCGGGAAGAGCUCAAAUUUGAAAUCUUCAAGGUUCCUACCUUGACGAAUUGUAGUUUAAAGAAGUGUUUUCUGUUGGAGUUUUGGUAAAAGUUCUUUGGAAUAGGACAUCAUAGAGGGUGAGAAUCCCGUAUUUGACCAUUAUUUCCAGCUUUGUGAUACACUUUCAAAGAGUCGGAUUGUUUGGGAAUGCAGUCCAAAAUGGGUAGUAAAUUUCAUCUAAAGCUAAAUAUUGGCGAGAGACCGAUAGCGAACAAGUACCGUGAGGGAAAGAUGAAAAGAACUUUGAAAAGAGAGUUAAACAGUACGUGAAAUUGUCAAAAGGGAAGCGUUUGACACCAGUGUUGUUUUCUCGAAAAUCAAUUAAAAAAGGCAGGGAUUUUGUGUUGUAUUGACUUUAUCAGCUUUCUGCACUCUUUUCUUGUCUUUUUUAAUGCACUUUUCGUUUAACAAGUCAACAUCAAUUUCUUUUGUUGUAAAAGGGUCAUUGGAAGGUGGCUUUCUUUUCGGAGAAAGUGUUUAUAGCCUUUGGCCUCUGCAAUCGGAGAGAUUGAGGUCUGCAGCGUAGAUCCUUCGGGGUUAGAUACAUUUGUGCUAAGUUAUAGCCUUUCAUAGACAACUUGUUGACUAUGAUCAGUCAUGUAGCUUACUCGCUUAUGCUAUUUUACCUACGCUUAGGAUGUUGAGCGCAUGUCUCUCUCU